GACGGUACCUGAAGAAAAAGCAUCGGCUAACUCCGUGCCAGCAGCCGCGGUAGUACGGAGGAUGCAAGCGUUAUCCGGAAUCAUUGGGCGUAAAGGGUCCGCAGGUGGCCAAUCAAGUCGGCUGUUAAAGACCGGGGCUUAACUCCGGGCAGGCAGUGGAAACUGAUUAGCUAGAGUACGGUAGGGGUAGAGGGAAUUCCCAGUGUAGCGGUGAAAUGCGUAGAUAUUGGGAAGAACACCGGUGGCGAAAGCGCUCUACUAGGCCGAAACUGACACUGAGGGACGAAAGCUAGGGUAGCGAAAGGGAUUAGAUACCCCUGUAGUCUUAGCUGUAAACGAUGGAUACUAGGUGUAGCUCGUAUCGACCCCAGCUGUGCCAAAGUUAACGCGAUAAGUAUCCCGCCUGGGGAGUACGCACGCAAGUGUGAAACUCAAAGGAAUUGACGGGGGCCCGCACAAGCGGUGGAGUAUGUGGUUUAAUUCGAUGCAACGCGAAGAACCUUACCAGGGCUUGACAUGUCGCGAAUCUAGCGGAAACGUUAGAGUGCCUUAGGGAAUGCGAACACAGGUGGUGCAUGGCUGUCGUCAGCUCGUGUCGUGAGAUGUUGGGUUAAGUCCCGCAACGAGCGCAACCCUCGUCCUUAGUUGCCAAUAUUAAGUUAGGCACUCUAGGGAUACUGCCGGGGACAACUCGGAGGAAGGUGGGGAUGACGUCAAGUCAGCAUGCCCCUUACGUCCUGGGCGACACACGUACUACAAUGGUUGGGACAAAGGGCAGCAAGCUCGCGAGAGUAAGCGAAUCUCAUCAAACCCAGCCACAGUUCAGAUUGCAGGCUGCAACUCGCCUGCAUGAAGUAGGAAUCGCUAGUAAUCGCAGGUCAGCAUACUGCGGUGAAUUCGUUCCCGGGCCUUGUACACACCGCCCGUCACACCAUGGAAGCUGGCUACGCCCGAAGUCGUUACCCUAACCCUAAGGGGAGGGGGAUGCCGAAGGUAGAGCUAGUGACUGGGGUGAAGUCGUAACAAGGUAGCCGUACCUGAAGGUGUGGCUGGAUCACCUCCUUU
rnacentral:rRNA from 1 species